CCUACGGGAGGCAGCAGUGGGGAAUAUUGGACAAUGGGCGAAAGCCUGAUCCAGCCAUGCCGCGUGUGUGAAGAAGGCCUUCGGGUUGUAAAGCACUUUCAGUGGGGAAGAAAGCCUUGGGGCUAAUACCCUCGAGGAAGGACAUCACCCACAGAAGAAGCACCGGCUAACUCCGUGCCAGCAGCCGCGGUAAUACGGAGGGUGCGAGCGUUAAUCGGAAUUACUGGGCGUAAAGCGCGCGUAGGCGGUCUGAUAAGCCGGUUGUGAAAGCCCCGGGCUCAACCUGGGAACGGCAUCCGGAACUGUCAGGCUAGAGUGCAGGAGAGGAAGGUAGAAUUCCCGGUGUAGCGGUGAAAUGCGUAGAGAUCGGGAGGAAUACCAGUGGCGAAGGCGGCCUUCUGGACUGACACUGACGCUGAGGUGCGAAAGCGUGGGUAGCAAACAGGAUUAGAUACCCUUUAGUC
rnacentral:rRNA from 1 species